CGGGGUAGAAGAUGGCCUGCAGCAUAGACAGAACAUUACAGAAGAAGUAGUCCCACGUUUCUGCCAGAGAAUCCAGCAGCUUCUGACCUGCACACACACACACACACACACACACACACACGCAUUGUGGCACAAGUGGAUGAUUUUUCUAAAGUUCACAUCAGCAUUAAACACAUCCUUUUAAUGCAGAGGAAACUCUUCAAAACCACAAACACAUGUGAACCGUCAGAAAUGUCAGACAGCACCUUACCUUCAUAAAAGUGAAUCUUAUCUCUCAAAAUCACCAUUCCCUUCGUCAGCAGCUGAUUCUGUGACACAAUCACAAUCAAACUCAAUUCACAGAUGCUUAAAUUAGUAUUGAUUAUUGAUCGAAGACUUGACUGAUCACCUGCAGAUACUCUGUGAAGAAGGAGCCCAACUCAGUCUUUAGGAGCUGCCUAGAGACAGAUGGACAGAGAGAGACAAACCAAAUUAUAAAAGCACAAAAAGAAAAUGAUCUAACUUAUUGGACUAAGUAAACUUUAAUGUUAUUUGGCCCUAAAUAGAGAUUACACAACUGCAGAAUAUCUGAGUACAGUGAAAGACUGUACAUGAAGACUUCAUAUGACGAGGUCCAGACUGAGCAGUCAUACUCUGACUAUAGAGACGGACAGAUAUCCACAGCACUGACCGCAUCUGCCCUUACCGUAAUCACAGACACACACUUCCUCACCAGCUGCUCUAACUAUGAAGAAAUUAGAAAUACAUUUUAUCCAAAAUUUGAAACACUUUACCCCGACUUCAAAACAUUACACAAGAAAACACAACUUCAAUAUUUAUUAGGUGAAAAACAAGAUUGUACCUUACUUGCAGCGAGAUACAUUUAUGAUAGUCACAAAAAGAGGGAGGAGUCAACCAAUCAGUGAUGCGCCUAUGA